GAUGAACGCUGGCGGCGUGCCUAAUACAUGCAAGUCGAGCGAACAGACGAGGAGCUUGCUCCUUUGACGUUAGCGGCGGACGGGUGAGUAACACGUAGGUAACCUACCUAUAAGACUGGGAUAACUUCGGGAAACCGGAGCUAAUACCGGAUAAUAUUUCGAACCGCAUGGUUCGAUAGUGAAAGAUGGCUUUGCUAUCACUUAUAGAUGGACCUGCGCCGUAUUAGCUAGUUGGUAAGGUAACGGCUUACCAAGGCAACGAUACGUAGCCGACCUGAGAGGGUGAUCGGCCACACUGGAACUGAGACACGGUCCAGACUCCUACGGGAGGCAGCAGUAGGGAAUCUUCCGCAAUGGGCGAAAGCCUGACGGAGCAACGCCGCGUGAGUUAUGAAGGUCUUCGGAUCGUAAAACUCUGUUAUUAGGGAAGAACAAACGUGUAAGUAACUGUGCACGUCUUGACGGUACCUAAUCAGAAAGCCACGGCUAACUACGUG
rnacentral:rRNA from 1 species